GCUAACAGCGCCGACAGGGGAAUGCUGGGAAGGUUUUUAUUGUCGCCGUGGAGCAGUUUUUCCCAACAGCCCUAUCAGAGACAGCCGAGGAGGGCCGUGUCCACGAGGUUAUUUUUGCUCUAAGGGUUCGUCAGCUCCGCGAGAGUGUCCCCAGGGAGCCGUCAGUUUAGAGGAGGGUCGAUCCAGCUGCAGCCCCUGUCCCCAGGGUUAUUACUGUCCUGGCAACAGCUCCCUCCAUGAAACCAUUGAGUGCCCUGUGGGUCAUUACUGCCCAAAUGGCACCUCCUCUCAGUACCAGUACCCAUGCCCUGCUGGGACCAGCAACCCAC